rnacentral:lncRNA from 1 species
GCCAUCUCUGUAGGGGGUAGUUUAGGAGGCCAGGAGCUAUCAUCUUCCCUCAUCCCAACCCAUCUUAGCCUCUGGAUCAACCCAUCAGGCAAAUGCCAGGCAGGACUAUGUAAAGAAAGAAUCACACGCUAAAACAAAUUCAGAUAGACUUAAAUCAUCGUCUGUGACUUCUAUGAUCUGAAAAUUUGGACCCUGUCCCUCCCACCCAAUAAUGCAUAUGUUGAAAUCCUAACCCCAAGGCGAUGGUAUUAGGAGGUGGGAUUUUAGGGAGGUGAUUAGGUCACUAAAGCAGAGCCCUCAUGAAUGUGAUUAGUGCCCUUAUGAGACAAGACCCCAGAGAGCUUGUUCACGCUUCCCAUCAUGUGAGUACACAGCAAGAUGGUGCUGUCUAUGAACCAGGCAGAGGGCUGUCAUCGAGAACCAAGUUUACUAUGCCUUGAUCUUGGGACUUCGAGCCUCCAGAAUGAGAAAAACACUGAAGAACUGUGUGGGCUGCCUUUGAGGAUGAAGCAGAUGUCUGCCAAGAUCUGUUUCCAUUCUGAGGAGCACAAGCUAAACAUCAGCCUCUUCACUCCUCAUUUACACCCUUACCCUGAGUCGAUCCAUCAAGACCCUCCACUGAGAGGGACAAAUUAUAAUGAUCUUUGUAUGAGGCAGUUUGAACUUGCCUUCCUGUUGCUUGUAAACUAAGUCGCAACCCAAGCUACUGAGAAAUCUCUGCACGUCGGAUAUUUUUCUCCUAAUUGAUAAGAAAGUGCUCAAAAAUAGAACUGUCAUCUGACAAAUCCUGGAACUAAUUGCCUUACACGUAGCAGGCUGCUAAAUGUGACCAGCAUUCUCCCCUCCAUUCGGUGGUUCCCAAGGAAACGAGGUUAAUGCAUUCAUGACUAACGUUUGCCUUGUCAAUCCUAGUUCACUGCGGUAGGCAUAGAGCAUGAGGGGAAAGUGCCGAGAACGUCGUUUCAUGCUUUUUUUCCUCUUCUGCUCGAAGUACAAACGUCUCAACCAAAGGUUAAACACAUGCUCAGCCAACCAUCAAAAAUCAAUCAGCAUCUGCACUUGUCCCCUGCUUCUAAAGGUUUGCCUGAGGAUCCUACUGGUACCAGAACGUUGAGGCAUUCAAACUCCUCAACCACAAAGUUUUAACAGGAGUUAACUCUUUAGCAAUGACUGGUUAGAGUUUUCUUUGCAUGUAUUUUCACAAUUUAUUAAUUUUCUUCCCCAGAUACGUGUCACCUUAUUUUAAAAAGAAACCUAUAAAAU